UACGGAGGAUGCAAGCGUUAUCCGGAAUGAUUGGGCGUAAAGCGUCCGCAGGUGGCUAUGUAAGUCUGCUGUUAAAGAGUCUAGCUCAACUAGAUAAGAGCAGUGGAAACUACAAGGCUAGAGUAAGGUAGGGGUAGAGGGAAUUCCUGGUGUAGCGGUGAAAUGCGUAGAGAUCAGGAAGAACACCGGUGGCGAAAGCGCUCUGCUGGACCUUAACUGACACUGAGGGACGAAAGCUAGGGGAGCGAAUGGG
rnacentral:rRNA from 1 species